rnacentral:rRNA from 1 species
GAGGACCGAACCGACUAAUGUUGAAAAAUUAGCGGAUGACUUGUGGCUGGGGGUGAAAGGCCAAUCAAACCGGGAGAUAGCUGGUUCUCCCCGAAAGCUAUUUAGGUAGCGCCUCGUGAACUCAUCUUCGGGGGUAGAGCACUGUUUCGGCUAGGGGGUCAUCCCGACUUACCAACCCGAUGCAAACUACGAAUACCGAAGAAUGUUAUCACGGGAGACACACGGCGGGUGCUAACGUCCG